rnacentral:rRNA from 1 species
CCUACGGGAGGCAGCAGUGGGGAAUAUUGCACAAUGGGCGCAAGCCUGAUGCAGCGACGCCGCGUGCGGGAUGGAGGCCUUCGGGUUGUAAACCGCUUUUGUUCAAGGGCAAGGCACGGUUUUUGGCCGUGUUGAGUGGAUUGUUCGAAUAAGCACCGGCUAACUACGUGCCAGCAGCCGCGGUAAUACGUAGGUGC